GACGAACGCUGGCGGCGUGCUUAACACAUGCAAGUCGAGCGGUAAGGCCUCUUUGGGGGUACACGAGCGGCGAACGGGUGAGUAACACGUGGGUGACCUGCCCCUCUACUCUGGGAUAAGCCUGGGAAACUGGGUCUAAUACCGGAUAUGACCACGGAUCGCAUGGUGUGUGGUGGAAAGUGGUGUUCUUGAUUGGGCACUGUGGUGGGGGAUGGGCCCGCGGCCUAUCAGCUUGUUGGUGGGGUGAUGGCCUACCAAGGCGACGACGGGUAGCCGGCCUGAGAGGGCGACCGGCCACACUGGGACUGAGACACGGCCCAGACUCCUACGGGAGGCAGCAGUGGGGAAUAUUGCGCAAUGGGCGGAAGCCUGACGCAGCGACGCCGCGUGGGGGAUGACGGCCUUCGGGUUGUAAACCUCUUUCGGCCCCGACGAAGCGUGAGUGACGGUAGGGGUGGAAGAAGCACCGGCCAACUACGUGCCAGCAGCCGCAGUAACAC
rnacentral:rRNA from 1 species